rnacentral:rRNA from 1 species
AUUGAACGCUGGCGGCAGGCCUAACACAUGCAAGUCGAGCGAGCGGCGGACGGGUGAGUAAUGUCUGGGAAACUGCCUGAUGGAGGGGGAUAACUACUGGAAACGGUAGCUAAUACCGCAUACCAUCAGAUGUGCCCAGAUGGGAUUAGCUAGUAGGUGGGGUAACGGCUCACCUAGGCGACGAUCCCUAGCCGGUCUGAGAGGAUGACCAGCCGCACUGGAACUGAGAAACGUGCCGUAUUCCGUCGGGAGGAAGCAGUGGGGAAUGUUGCACAAUGGGCGCGAGCCUGAUGCGCCCAUGCCGCGUGUGUGAAGAAGGCCUUCGGGUUGGAAAGCACUUUCAGCGGGGAGGCGUUACCCGCAGAAGAAGCACCGGCUAACUCCGUGCCAGCAGCCGCGGUAAUUC